CCUACGGGUGGCAGCAGUGGGGGAUAUUGGACACUGGGGGAAACCCUGAUCCAGCGACGCCGCGUGAGUGAAGAAGUAUUUCGGUAUGUAAAGCUCUGUCAGCAGGGAAGAAAGAAAUGACGGUACCUGACCAAGAAGCCCCGGCCAACUACGUGCCAGCAGCCGCGGUAAUACGUAGGGGGCAAGCGUUAUCCGGAAUUAUUGGGUUUAAAGGGUGCGUAGGCGGAAUAUCAAGUCAUCGGGAAAAAUGCGGGGCUCAACCCCGUCGUGCCGUUGAAACUGAUGUUCUUGAGUGGGCGAGAAGUUGGCGGAAUGCGUGGUGUAGCGGUGAAAUGCAUAGAUAUCACGAAGAACUCCGAGUGCGAAGGCAGCAUACCGGGGCCCAACUGACGCUGAAGCACGAAAGCGUGGGUAUCGAACAGGAUUAGAUACCCUGGUAGUC
rnacentral:rRNA from 1 species